AUUGAACGCUGGCGGCAGGCCUAACAAAUGCAAGUCGAACGAGUGGCGGACGGGUGAGCAAUGUCUGGGAAACUGCCCGAUGGAGGGGGAUAACUACUGGAAACGGUAGCUAAUACCGCAAACCAUCGGAUGUGCACAGAUGGGAUUAGCUAGUAGGUGGGGUAACGGCUCACCUAGGCGACGAUCCCUAGCUGGUCUGAGAGGAUGACCAGCCACACUGGAACUGAGACACGGUCCAGCCUCCUACGGGAGGCAGCAGUGGGGAAUAUUGCCCAAUGGGCGCAAGCCUGAUGCAGCCAUGCCGCGUGUAUGAAGAAGGCCUUCGGUUUGUAAAGUUCUUUCGGCGAGGAGGCGUUACUCGCAGAAGAAGCACCUGCGAACUCCGUGCCAGCAGCCGCGGUAAUAC
rnacentral:rRNA from 1 species